UACAUUGUUGAAUGUUUACUGACGUCAUCAACAAAACUCCUGCAACACAGACGUGAAGAAACAGAACGGAACAGAGAACAGUCUGCAACCAACAAUUUGAAAGAGAACAUAAUUUUAUAAGAUGGAAAAUAACUUUACAGCUGAUGCGAACAGCACCGAAGUCGCCAAAACCUUGAAUUCAUGUGUCGUACUUGGAACCUUAUCGCUGACUAUUUAUGUGGUGCUGAAUCUAUAUCUCAUAUACUUCCUAAUAGCAGGAAUUUUGGGCCUGAAGAAGACUUCUCAUGAAUCACCACAUAAUUCGACACUGAUUACGAUAAGUGCAGAUUCCAACACAGAUAUCACCAACAAUUCCACCACUAACAGUACAUCACCAACAAUUUCUACACGAGAAGAAGUACCCUUGACAGAAAUUGCAUUUGUUGUCAUUUCUCUCAUGAUUGUGUCAUUAUUAUUGCUAUAUUUAGGGAUAUACAUUAUAACUUAUUAGCGGAAUAAGACUACUCGUGAAUCGCCACAUAAUUCUACACUGAGUACGAUAAGUGCAAUUAAUUCCACCACUAAUAGUACAUCACCGACACUUUUCACACGAGCAAACGAAUAACUAUCAUCGCCACACCACGUAUCAGCAGAAACAAAUAUAAUCCACGCAGAAGACACCGCAGACAUCUCUUCCUGUGAGGAAGACAGUUAGUCUCAGAGAAAAAUGGCCACAUGUUGGGACACGCAGUAAAAUAGGUCCUAAAUCGUACUCAAGUUCGAUCUACGGGGGACCCGUUCGUCCUAGGGAACAUCGGCGGCACGUUGAGCCUAAGAGGCCUCCAACCCUGUAGUCGUACUUUUAGAAGAUCUUCUCUGAUGGUGAUGUUCACAUCCCCAUGUUGUCAGAUAACAAUGCUACAAUAUCUCAAGCUCAUUUGUUGUCGGCUUCAAGUGGCCAUCAUGUGAUCGAGUAGGGUCCAGUCUUCGUCAGCAACUCACGUGUGUAGUCUCAGUAGUGCACGGGAGAUCUCAUCUAGCUCGAGUCGGGAGUUUCGGAUGUCCUGGAGGAGUGUGCUAAAGACCACUCCAAUCCACGAGAGCGUGAAUCUUACCCGGGGUGAUCUAGAUUGGACCCCUGGUGCACUUGUGGGAAAACUGAAAUGCAGCCCAGAAGAUGGUAUCAGAAUUUGAAGACACAGAAAGACCAUAUUAAGCGAUAAAGCGUAGUCGUUUCUUUAAAACGUUGUGAACAGUUGUUCUACAGAACACUUCGGCACUGAUUUCUUCGGGCUACGCAGAUAACUUGCUCGCACAGCUUCAGUGGUAUCGUCAGACCCUGAUGGUCGUCCUGGACGUGACUGCUUCAGUAGGCUGCCCGUUUGUCUGAGUUGUUGGUCAAAACGGCGAAUGUUAUUUUCGUGUGGUAGUUCUUCAUUAAACACACGGCGGUAUUCACGCCUAACAAGUGUAACUGACUCAAAAUUAGCAAGCCAAAAAGCACAUUGAACCUUCCUCUGCACCGUAAUCAUGGCGACUAAGAAGCUUCACACGGCUAUUGACCUUGUAACACAGCGCGCAUGCGCUUGCGCUAGAUCCUGUGUACGUAUCGAAACAUUAGAGAGUUUCUCUUUAUUUUAACGUUUAUUUCAUGUCUCUAACGUGUUUUGUUCCAAAACAUCCAACAGCUGCUCAGCUACUCUAGAAAUUUCCAACAUUUUAUGGUAACCAGAGGUUUAUUACAGUGUUCACAGAAGACUAUCACUGGUCCCUAUCCUAAACCAAACUACUCGAGUGUGUACCACCCUAUUCUAUUUCUCUAAGACCCAUCUUAGUAUUAUGCACACACCUGCUUCUAGGUCUUCCGAGUAGUCUCUUUCCUUCUGGUUUGCCCACCGAAAUCCUCCCCAUGGUGGCUAUAAGCCCCGCCCAUCCCUUUAUUAAAUAUUGUUUUUCAUUACUGUUAUUAUCUUAAUAAUAAUUAAGAUACUAGAUGUAACAGAGUUCUUCUAGAGAUAUCAUUUGCUACGCUAGUCAAAAAAUUCGCUAGAUAACCUAGAGACCCUACUAGAAUUGCAUUUCUUAAUUAUAUAAAGGUAUUUUCCAUAUCAUAUUUCUUAUUAAAAGUUAAGAUUACAUUUAUGUUUGCAUUUAGGUUUUCGAAGUCUUUGUUCAUUUGUGUGAAAAAUGGAGAUAUUUUACCCUCGAACGAAAUAAAAAUGUAAUCAAAGUUCUUGCCAAUUUUCUUGACUCUAACGCUCUUAUAGUUUCUAUAAACUUUUCCAAUAUGCGUUAACGCAGUUUACAAAUUUACUUCGACGACGUUUUUGUUUGACGUAUACUGUUGCGACGCUAAUACUUACAUUCAUUCGAGGCGUGCGGGAGAGAAA